CUACCAAUCAGCAGGAUGUGGGUGAGGCCGGAUAAGAGAAUAAAAGCAGGCUGCCCCAGCUAGCAGUGGCAACCUGCUCGGGUCCCCUGCCACACUAUGGAAGCUUUGUUCUUUUGCUCUUUGCAAUAAAUCUUGCUACUGCUUACUCUUUGGGUCCACACUGCCUUCAUGAGCUGUAACACUCACCGGGAAGGUCUGCAACUUCACUCCUGAGCCAGCGAGACCACGAGCCCACUGGAAGGAACAAACUCCCGCACGCCGCCUUUAAGAACUGUAACACUCACAGAGAGGGCCCGCGGCUUCAUUCCCGAAGUCAGUGAGACCAAGAACCAACCAAUUCCGGGCACGUUUCUUUUUCUGCAUCCGCUGCUCUGUUAAGUGAUCACCACAUUCAUUGUUCUCGUUUCUAUUAUUUCUGAAAAAAAUCUUCAGGAUUCUGCUUGUGGGAGUGGAUGACAUUUUUACAGUGUUUACAGAGUAAGCAGAUUGGACUGGGACAUGAUCUUCUCUUCAAGAGGGCAGAAGCACAAGGCCCAAUGUAUAAUUGCUAUUCAUAACUCUACUUAUGUGAUAUUUGUUACCUGGGUCCCUACAUUAGCCAAGGCAGAACACAUGGUCAAGCUGAGGUGCAGAGAAUUACACCUUGACUACACAAGAGUAUAAAUACAAGGAGGAGUGAAACUCCAGGGCCAUUACUGUUGCCAAUCUAACACAAAUAGGACACUCCAUUUUUUAAGAUUGUAAGUUCUGCAGGAAAAAUGCCUGAGUCAAUAUCCUGGCCCUACCAGGAGCUCUGUAACCUUGGAAAAAUUACUAAGCCUGGUUUCUCAUUUUAAUAAGGAAAGACAGCAAAACUAUACCUCAUAUCAUUAAUGAGUACACAUUUGUGAGCCCUAUAUCUAACACAAAAUAUGUACCAAAAAUAUUAAUUGUAUUAUUCCAUAUAUGUGGGCAUUGAGGUUCACAGGAGUUGACGUAUUUAAAAAUAAAAUUUAACAUUAAUAAUAUGUGCUGAAAUUGUGCUUGAAUGCAGAAAUUCAGAUUUCCUGACUUUGGAUUUCAGGUUUGUUAAACAACAUCCUGCUAUUACUAUGUAAAAACAUUGAAGUAUAAUCACUAUAGAAAAAGGAAAUAUAAUUAAUCAAUUAUUACAUUCUUUCUUUCUUUCUUUUUGGGGACGGGGUCUCGCUCUGUCCCCCAGGCUGGAGGGGGGACCGUCUCAGCUCACUGCAACCUCUGCCUCCUGGGUUCAAGUGAUUUACCUGCCUCAGCUUCCUGAGUAGCUGGGACUAUAGGCACCUUCCACCAUGCCUGGCUAAGUUUUGUAUUUUUUGGUAGAGACAGGGUUUCACCAUGUUUGGCGAGACUGGUCUUGAACUCCUUACCUCAGGUGAUCUGCCCAUCUCGGCCUCCCAAAGUGCAGGGAUUACGGGGGUGAGCCGCCGGCCUGGCCUACAUUAUUAAAUUCUUAAACUGAUGUUACACAGGCAUCAUUAUAAAAAUUACACGGUAGGGAAUUAGUUGAUAACUACUUUAAAAUCUUUAAAGUAUAAAAUACAUACUUUGUUCUAUUUAUAAAACAUGAUAUGAAAUAAAUGACACAUUCGCUGUAUUAAAUCCAAUAAAUUGUCAAAAAUAGAUGCAUUACGUGUAGACUGGUAUGGAUUAUUGAACAAAUGUAAUUACAUUUUUAAAUUCAAGCUGUCUGAUACAGAAUGUAGAACUAGGACACUUGCAAAGGUAGCACUGUAGUAAACAUUUUAUCUUAAUGAUAUUAUGCUACUUUAAUACUAUGUAAUAGCACAAAGUCAACACUUUUAGGAUGCCCAGGUACAUACUGGAAAUUGACCAUUAUAUUCGUUUUUUUCUACAGAUAUUGAAUAUUCUUUUAAGGGAUACACACAGACAACUAGCUCUUUCUACCAGAAAAGCGUUUUUGUAGACACAUUGCAGUUUCAUUUUUCUUUAAUGACUGACACUGCUCCAUAUGUUCAGAGCUCAUACUUCUAAAAGAAAUUUGACAAAUUGUUUGCUGUGCAUAG
rnacentral:lncRNA from 1 species